rnacentral:rRNA from 1 species
AACUUUCAACAAUGGAUCUCUUGGUUCUGGCAUCGAUGAAGAACGCAGCGAAAUGCGAUAAGUAAUGUGAAUUGCAGAGUCCAGUGAAUCAUCGAAUCUUUGAACGCACAUUGCACCCGGCGGCACUCCGCCGGGUCUGCCUGUCCGAGCGUCGUUU